ACGAAAAAAAAAAAAAAACAAAAAAAGAAAAAAACAUAUAGAUGUAUAUGAAGGUAUGUAUGUGUGUACGUUUUAUGGAUUUUUGAGGUGUUUGUAGCUUUCUAUGAAUGU
rnacentral:ribozyme from 14 species